GUGGGGAAUCUUCCGCAAUGGACGAAAGUCUGACGGAGCAACGCCGCGUGAGUGAUGAAGGUCUUCGGAUUGUAAAGCUCUGUUAAUCGGGACGAAAGAGCCUAGUGUGAAUAAUGCUAGGAAGUGACGGUACCGGAAUAGAAAGCCACGGCUAACUACGUGCCAGCAGCCGCGGUAAUACGUAGGUGGCAAGCGUUGUCCGGAAUUAUUGGGCGUAAAGCGCGCGCAGGCGGAUCUGCCAGUCUGUCUUAAAAGUUCGGGGCUUAACCCCGUGAUGGGAUGGAAACUACAGACCUAGAGUAUCGGAGAGGAAAGUGGAAUUCCUAGUGUAGCGGUGAAAUGCGUAGAUAUUAGGAAGAACACCAGUGGCGAAGGCGACUUUCUGGACGAAAACUGACGCUGAGGCGCGAAAGCCAGGGGAGCGAACGGGAUUAGAUACCCUGGUAGUCC
rnacentral:rRNA from 1 species